UGUAGUCAUAUGCUUGUCUCAAAGAUUAAGCCAUGCAUGUCUAAGUAUAAACAACUUUAUACUGUAAAACUGCGAACGGCUCAUUACAUCAGCAAUAAUUUAUUUGAUGAUUUCUUACUACAUGGAUAACUGUAGUAAUUCUAGAGCUAAUACAUGCGCAAAGUCCUGACUCGCGAGGGGAGGGAUGUAUUUAUUAGAUACAAAACCAAUGCGGGUUCUGCUCGCCAUUGUGUUGAAUCAUAGUAACUUAUCGAACGCCAUAGCCUUGUGCUGGGCGUAGAUCAUUCAAAUUUCUGCCCUAUCAGCUUUCGACGGUAGUGUAGUGGACUACCGUGGCGUUAACGGGUAACGGGGA
rnacentral:rRNA from 1 species